GGGGUAUUAGCUCAGUUGGUAGAGCGCUUGCAUGGCAUGCAAGAGGUCAUCGGUUCGAAUCCGAUAUGCUCCA
rnacentral:tRNA from 1 species